rfam:Spinacia oleracea cultivar SynViroflay scaffold94462.con0002.1, whole genome shotgun sequence.
AACCUAUUAGCUCAAAUGGUAGAACACUACGCAAAUGCAUAGGGGAUGUAGGUUCGAUUCCUACAUAGGUUG